GUAACGAGCGCAACCCUUGUCCUUAGUUACCAGCACGUUAUGUGGGCGACUCUAAGGAGAACUGCCGGUGGACAAACCGGAGGAAGGUGGGGGAGUGACGUCAAGUCAUCAUGGCCCUUACGGCCUGGGCUACACACGUGCUACAAUGGUCGGUACAAAGGGCUGCCAAGCCGCGAGGUGGAGCUAAUCCCAUAAAACCGAUCGUAGUCCGGAUCGCAGUCUGCAACUCGACUGCGUGAAGUCGGAAUCGCUAGUAAUCGUGAAUCAGAAUGUCACGGUGAAUACGUUCCCGGGCCUU
rnacentral:rRNA from 1 species